UACGUAGGGUGCAAGCGUUGUCCGGAAUUAUUGGGCGUAAAGAGCUCGUAGGCGGUUUGUCGCGUCUGCUGUGAAAACUCAGGGCUUAACCCUGAGCCUGCAGUGGGUACGGGCAGACUAGAGUGCGGUAGGGGAGAUCGGAAUUCCUGGUGUAGCGGUGAAAUGCGCAGAUAUCAGGAGGAACACCGGUGGCGAAGGCGGCAUCCUGGACCAAUUCUGACGCUGAGGAGCGAAAGCCAGGGGAGCAAACGGG
rnacentral:rRNA from 1 species